rnacentral:rRNA from 1 species
UACAGAGGUAGCAAGCGUUGUUCGGAAUGACUGGGUGUAAAGCGCGUGUAGGUGGUUUAGUAAGUUGAAUGUGAAAUCCAUUGGCUCAACCAAUGAACUGCAUUCAAAACUGCUUUACUUGAGUACGGGAGAGGGAAGUGGAAUUUCUGGUGUAGCGGUAAAAUGCGUAGAUAUCAGAAGGAACACCGGUGGCGAAAGCGACUUCCUGGUCCGUAACUGACACUGAGACGCGAAAGCUAGGGGAGCAAACAGG